rnacentral:rRNA from 1 species
CUGGCGGCAGGCCUAACACAUGCAAGUCGAACGGUAACAGGAAGCAGCUGCUGCUUCGCUGACGAGUGGCGGACGGGUGAGUAAUGUCUGGGAAACUGCCCGAUGGAGGGGGAUAACUACUGGAAACGGUAGCUAAUACCGCAUAAUGUCGCAAGACCAAAGAGGGGGACCUUCGGGCCUCUUGCCAUCGGAUGUGCCCAGAUGGGAUUAGCUUGUUGGUGAGGUAACGGCUCACCAAGGCGACGAUCCCUAGCUGGUCUGAGAGGAUGACCAGCCACACUGGAACUGAGACACGGUCCAGACUCCUACGGGAGGCAGCAGUGGGGAAUAUUGCACAAUGGGCGCAAGCCUGAUGCAGCCAAUGCCGCGUGUAUGAAGAAGGCCUUCGGGUUGUAAAGUACUUUCAGCGGGGAGGAAGGGGUUAAGGUUAAUAACCUUAGCCAUUGACGUUACCCGCAGAAGAAGCACCGGCUAACUCCGUGCCAGCCGCCGC